rnacentral:tRNA from 1 species
GGCCUGCUAGCUCAGUCGGUUAGAGCGUCGUGCUAAUAACGCGAAGGUCGUAGGUUCGAUCCCUGCUCAGGCCA